GAGGGCAGUGGAGGCCAAGCCAGUGGAUAUUUUGAAGGCAGGGGUAGCCAAAUUCUUGAUUUGAACUGGUGUCAGGUUUAUGGGGAGAAGGCAGGAAAAUUGGAUUAGGAGGCAGAGGUCAGCCAUGAUUGAAUGGCAGAGUAGACUCAAUGGGC